rnacentral:rRNA from 1 species
UACGUAGGGUGCGAGCGUUGUCCGGAAUUACUGGGCGUAAAGAGCUCGUAGGUGGUUUGUCGCGUUGUUCGUGAAAACUCACAGCUCAACUGUGGGCGUGCGGGCGAUACGGGCAGACUGGAGUACUGCAGGGGAGACUGGAAUUCCUGGUGUAGCGGUGAAAUGCGCAGAUAUCAGGAGGAACACCGAUGGCGAAGGCAGCCAUCUGGACCGACACUGACGCUGAGGCGCGAAAGCGUGGGGAGCAAACAGG